rnacentral:rRNA from 1 species
AACGAACGCUGGCGGCGUGCCUAACACAUGCAAGUCGUGCGAGAAAGUUCCUUCGGGAGCGAGUAAAGCGGCGCACGGGUGAGUAACACGUAGGUAACCUGCCCCCCAGUCUGGAACAACUAGAGGAAACUCUAGCUAAUGCCGGAUGAGACCACGAUCCCUUCGGGGGUUGCGGCCAAAGAUGGCCUCUACUUGUAAGCUAUCGCUGAGGGAUGGGCCUGCGGGCCAUUAGCUUGUUGGUGAGGUAACGGCUCACCAAGGCUGUGAUGGCUAGCUGGUCUGAGAGGAUGACCAGCCACACUGGGACUGAGACACGGCCCAGACUCCUACGGGAGGCAGCAGUGGGGAAUAUUGCGCAAUGGGC